UGAAGAGUGACCUCAGACCUGACUAUAAUCAUAACAAUUAGAUACCACAAAACAACUAAGAUUAAUUCCAACCAAGUUUAUUCAGUUGUAGCCUCUGAAGUGAACAUUAAUUCAUCAUUGAUUAUUAGCAGUUCAAAGCGGUGUCUCCCUCGUGACAAGCAGGCACAAAGCAGGGCUGCUGAGCACUAUUUUUGCCUGCCGGAUAAAAAUGUUAGCGUCUUCUCUUCAGCUUAAAGAUUUGUAAUCAUGCAAAUUCCCGUCUGUUAUUGAGAUAUGCUCACACACGGUCAAAUUCUCCGGUGUCUCUUCUGCUGAUUUUCAUAACAAAUCCGAAUAAGUUUUCUUUUGUACGAGUGUGACCCCCCCACAAAACAGCUGAGCUCUACAAGAUGCAACUUGAUAGAUCGUCAAUGAAAGCUGGUCUCCAGUAAAGACAUCAGGAAAGCGGAGGGACCUCACAGCAAGAGACACAUACAGUUUUGUGACAUCUGCCUACUAAAGGCAUCAUUCAAAGAUCAAACCUAAAUGAACUCAGGUGGAGAAAACUGGCACAGAAGGGAAGUGACUGGCCCAAGGUCAUCCACUGGGUCGGCGUCAGAGCAGCCACAUCUCCCCACUCCCAGUCCAGUUUCCUACCCACUAAGCCUCGGACACUCGAGUUAGAAGUUCAUUGCUGACUGAUAAUAAACCUUUCAAUAAAGCGUCGUCUUUGACGUAAGAUGUGGGGUGUUGAACAUUACACUCCUCAAAACGGACAGGCUUUUGAUGACUGCUCACUGGUUUUCAUCUCCAGAGAGUCAUUUCAAGUGGACAACUGACAACAGAAAAAUCAAUGAGAAAAAAAAGGCAUAUGAACCAGCAAGACAGGGACAGAUCUGUCUGCUGGAAGCGAGGAGCGGUGAUCAUGAGGGUACUGCACAGAUCCCUAAUGAAGUUCCAUCCGUGCUCACUGCUAUCUCAAUCCAUCACUAUUGUCAUGGAAUCUGACAUAAUUCAACUUGGGAACAAAGAAGAAAGCAAGGACAGGAAAAAGUUCAUAAGCAAACAACAUGAAGGCUCAGCAAACCUCAACUAUCAGGAGUGGAAUCAGAUCCAUCUCUGUGUCAGAAGAACGAUUGGAAAAUGAAAUAGCCAAGUCUCUUCAGUAAUGCACUUCCCUCUGCAAUGUGCAUGUACAUUACUUAUUAAGAAGCAUAAUAUUUUAUUGCUAAACAGCUUUCAUUGUGGAAAGAGAGAGUGCACCAUCAAUAGCAGCAUUAAGGGGAAGAAAUACCCAUCAACAUCAGCU